GUUAAUCUGCCUUAAUUUGCAGGCUUGGUGAUUGUAUUCAGAUAUUCUUCUUCUUCAAUUCAUCAAUUGCCCCAUCGAUUCACCGAUUGUCAUCACCAAUUGUCGAGAACUGCUGCUUCAUAUGUGUAAGGUUAGUGUCGAGAAGCCCUCAGAAGCAGAGGGCCACAAUUCCUUUGAGAAAGCCCUCACAAUUCCUUUGAGAAGCCCUCAGAAGCAAAGGGCCACAAUUCCUUUCAAACCACUGAGCUUCUCUCUAUUUUGCUUCAAUACCAGAAAUCUACUUUCUCUUGAUUUUCUUCUGCUGAACUUGCUACGAGGACUGAUAUAAUCUAGGUGGUUUUCAGGUAGGAGGUGGGAUCAAUUCAGAUAAUUCUUUGCAAUACAUAGAAGACGGGGCUAGCCACGUCAUUGUCACUUCUUAUGUAUUUAAUAAUGGGCAAAACCUUGAAAGGCUUAAAGAUCUUGUUCGUGUUGUUGGAAAAGAAAGGCUUGUUUUAGACCUUAGCUGUAGAAAGAGGGAAGGUAAAUAUGCAAUUGUCACAGAUAGAUGGCAAAAGUUCAGUGACGUGUAUCUUGACAAGGAAAUAUUAGACUUCCUUAUGCAGACGAGUUUCUGGUACAUGGUGUCGAUGUGGAAGGGAAAAAUUUUAGGCAGUGUUUGGUGAGACUUCUUCUGAUAAUCAACUAGCAGAAGAACAUAUGUAUAGCUGGUUUGACUUUUGAAGAUGAUCCAGUCGAUAAAAGUGAAAAGCUGGAACGAGAUGGGAAACAAUGGGUUGAUAUGUGCUCUUCAAGGUGUUAUGUACCCAGAGUGCAUGAUAAUGUCCUGCUGCAAAAGUGGCUAUAUCACUAUCUUCUCUUUGAUUUUCCAACACCAGGAAUAUUAUCAUGAAACUCAUAAAGAAGUUAAACCUCAGUUGGCUGCAACACAUUUAGUUGACGCCCAUAUAUGCAGUGACGUUGCAAAGUACUUGCAUGAACUUCUUACUCAAAGAGAUGAAUUUGACACCAUUGCUUUGUUGAUCCGGCAUCUACAUAUAAUUGUCAAAGACCAGACUUUGUACGUAUUGAAGUGGCUGAUUAUAUACAGAGUUUGGCUACCAA